rnacentral:rRNA from 1 species
GCUCAGGAUGAACGCUGGCGGCGUGCCUAAUACAUGCAAGUCGAGCGAAUGGAUUAAGAGCUUGCUCUUAUGAAGUUAGCGGCGGACGGGUGAGUAACACGUGGGUAACCUACCCAUAAGACUGGGAUAACUCCGGGAAACCGGGGCUAAUACCGGAUAAUAUUUUGAACUGCAUAGUUCGAAAUUGAAAGGCGGCUUCGGCUGUCACUUAUGGAUGGACCCGCGUCGCAUUAGCUAGUUGGUGAGGUAACGGCUCACCAAGGCGACGAUGCGUAGCCGACCUGAGAGGGUGAUCGGCCACACUGGGACUGAGACACGGCCCAGACUCCUACGGGAGGCAGCAGUAGGGAAUCUUCCGCAAUGGACGAAAGUCUGACGGAGCAACGCCGCGUGAGUGAUGAAGGCUUUCGGGUCGUAAAACUCUGUUGUUAGGGAAGAACAAGUGCUAGUUGAAUAAGCUGGCACCUGA